rfam:Desulfonauticus sp. 38_4375 PW_scaffold_117, whole genome shotgun sequence.
GUUUCAAUUCCUCAUAGGUAAUGUAAUAAC